CAAAACAAAAGACGCUGACGGAGAGGUGCGAACGAAUUUAAGUCUCAAGAACCUGCCCAGUGAGGGCAACUGACCCUGCCCCUCCACCCCUACUUAUCAUGGAGACAGUUUGACCAAGGGAGCAAAGCUGAAUGAAUCAGAAACCACCCAAUUAUGUGGUGAUUGCAUUAUUUAUUGUUUUCUUAUGCCAUCAAGUGCUGUAUUUUUGUUGAACAUUGCUAGUAAAUGAGGAAGGCCGUGUUUACACCCCAAAAUAUUCCAUAUUUGUCAAACCUAAUAAAAGGCAAAGUUUA